rnacentral:tRNA from 1 species
GGAGGGGUCGCAUAGUCCGGCCUAGUGCGCACGAUUGGAAAUCGUGUAAGGGGUUAAACCCUUCGCGGGUUCGAAUCCCGCCCCCUCCG